AUUGAACGCUGGCGGCAGGCCUAACACAUGCAAGUCGAGCGGAUGAAGGGAGCUUGCUCCUGGAUUCAGCGGCGGACGGGUGAGUAAUGCCUAGGAAUCUGCCUGGGAGUGGGGGAUAACGUCCGGAAACGGGCGCUAAUACCGUAUACGUCCUGAGGGAGAAAGUGGGGGAUCUUCGGAUCUCACGCUAUCAGAUGAGCCUAGGUCGGAUUAGCUAGUUGGUGGGGUAAAGGCCUACCAAGGCGACGAUCCGUAACUGGUCUGAGAGGAUGAUCAGUCACACUGGAACUGAGACACGGUCCAGACUCCUACGGGAGGCAGCAGUGGGGAAUAUUGGACAAUGGGCGAAAGCCUGAUCCAGCCAUGCCGCGUGUGUGAAGAAGGUCUUCGGAUUGUAAAGCACUUUAAGUUGGGAGGAAGAGCAGUAAGUUAAUACCUUGCUGUUUUGACGUUACCAACAGAAUAAGCACCGGCUAACUUCGUG
rnacentral:rRNA from 1 species